rnacentral:rRNA from 1 species
CCUACGGGGGGCUGCAGUAGGGAAUUUUCGGCAAUGGGCGCAAGCCUGACCGAGCAACGCCGCGUGAGUGAAGAAGGCCUUCGGGUUGUAAAGCUCUGUUGUAAGGGAAGAAUGGCCAAGAGAGGGAAUGCUCUUGGAGUGACGGUACCUUACCAGAAAGCCACGGCUAACUACGUGCCAGCAGCCGCGGUAAUACGUAGGUGGCAAGCGUUAUCCGGAAUUAUUGGGCGUAAAGGGAGCGUAGGCGGUUUGAUAAGUCUGAGGUGAAAGUUCGG